GCGAUCCGCGCCGAGGGCGGCGGCCGGAGCCCUAGCACCGCGAGGCUGAAGUGGGCGGGGCCGCGUCCGGCGCCGCCACCGUGGAGGAGUCGCCGCCGCCGCCGCCGGGUCGACGCAGGUGCGGCCGCCGCGCCCGCCGGCGCCCCCGCGGGGAUGCGGCCGGUCUCUUAGGAUGAGGCGUUGGUGGCAGGUGUUAAUAGGAUAAGUGAAAAGAAUAUCCAGAUAUUAAGAUAAGAACUAAAAGAGCCAAACAGGGAAGCAUUCAUACUUCAAGAUCUCUAAGAACAGGUAGCAAUAUUUAAUAUGGAACCAAAGUCUUGUGAAUCAAAUAAUGAAGAUCUUUUAUCAAGUAGUGGCAUCACAUCCAAUGGAGGUUCAAGUCCAUUUUUUAUAUCAUCUAUUCGUGGUACAAUAAUUGAAAACACAGCUUCAGCUGGGACAUUGACACAAAUUCCUUUUUUCCCUAAAUAUGAAGUGGAACUUGAUUCUCAUAGAAAAGUCGUCCCUUACCCUGGAAAAGAGCACAUUGAACGUGUUUUAGAAGAGUACUCCCAUCAAGUCAAAGAUUUGCAGAGAAGACUAAAUGAAAGCAAUGAAUUGCAUGAGAAACAAAAGUUUUACUUAAGGCAGUCAGUCAUUGAUUUGCAAACAAAACUUCAAGAGAUGCAAAUGGAGAGAGAUGCCAUGGUUGACAUCAGACGAAGGGAGAGUCAGUCCCAGGAGGACUUAAGAAAUCAGCUUCAAAAUACGGUUCACGAACUUGAAGCUGCCAAAUGCCUUAAGGAGGACAUGCUGAGAGAUAGCACCACCCAGAUAGAGCAGCUAAGAAGGACGAUGCUUGGUCAUGAGGGAGUGCUUCAAGAAAUCCGGUCAAUCCUAGUUGACUUUGAAGAAACCUCAGGCAAGAAAGUCUACGAACACGACAGCAUGGCCACUCUCCACUUCCGCAGCUUGGGCACAGCCAUUAGUAAAAUCCUGAGAGAAUUAGACACAGAGAUUUCUUAUCUUAAAGGGAGGAUAUUUCCAGUAGAGGAUCAGCUUGAAGCACUGAAAUCUGAAUCACAGAGCAAAAUAGAACUACUUCUUCAACAACAUCAAGAUAGGAUUGAGCAGUUAAUAAAUGAACAUGAAAUUGAAGUAACAGGACUUACUGAAAAAGCUAGCAGUGCUCGAAGCCAAGCCAACAGUAUCCAGAGUCAACUGGAAAUCAUUCAAGAACAAGCAAGAAACCAAAAUUCAAUGUAUAUGCGUCAACUAAGUGAACUGGAAUCUACUGUUUCUCAGCUACGUUCUGAGUUAAGGGAAGCCAAAAGGAUGUAUGAAGACAAGAUAGAAGAGCUGGAGAAGCAGUUAGUCCUUGCCAACUCGGAGCUAACUGAGGCACGGACAGAACGUGAUCAGUUCAGUCAGGAAUCUGGAAAUUUGGACGAUCAGCUUCAAAAGCUGUUGGCUGAUCUACAUAAAAGAGAGAAGGAGCUGAGUCUGGAGAAGGAGCAGAAUAAGCGCCUGUGGGACCGGGACACUGGCAACAGCAUCACCAUCGACCACCUGCGGCGGGAGCUCGACGACAGGAACAUGGAGGUGCAGCGCCUGGAAGCGCUCCUCAAGGCCUUGAAGAGCGAGUGUCAGGGCCAGAUGGAGCGGCAGAUGGCAGCAAUUCAGGGAAAGAAUGAAAGUCUAGAAAAAGUGUCUUCCUUGACUGCUCAGCUUGAAUCCACCAAAGAGAUGCUCCGCAAAGUAGUAGAAGAGUUGACAGCCAAGAAAAUGACCCUGGAGAGCUCAGAGAGGACUGUAUCGGACCUGACAGCUUCCCUCCAGGAAAAGGAGAGAGCCAUCGAGGCUACCAACGCGGAGAUCACGAAGCUGCGCUCCCGGGUGGACUUGAAACUGCAGGAGCUGCAGCACUUGAAAAACGAAGGGGAUCACCUCAGAAACGUGCAGACAGAAUGCGAGGCCCUCAAGCUGCAGAUGGCAGAAAAGGACAAGGUGAUCGAGAUUUUGCGACAACAGAUUGAAAACAUGACACAGUUGGUGGGCCAGCAUGGAAGAACGGCUGGCGCGAUGCAAGUAGAAAAAGCUCAGCUUGAGAAGGAGAUUAAUGAUAGGAGACUGGAACUACAGGAAUUCAAGAUUUUAAAAGAUAAAAAAGAUGCAAAGAUACGAGAGCUCGAGGCCAGAGUGAGUGACCUGGAGCUGGAAAAGGUGAAGCUGGUGAAUGCAGGCUCUGAGCGGCUCCGUGCAGUGAAGGACAUCAAACAAGAGAGAGAUCAAUUAUUAAAUGAGGUGAAAACUUGUAGGAAUGAGUUAAACAGUCUGACAGAGGACUAUGACGUCUUAAAAAGGAAUUUUCGAAACAAGAGUGAGGAAAUGGAAACUACUACGAAUAAGCUGAAAAUGCAAUUAAAAUCUGCACAGUCUGAACUAGAACAAACAAGGAAUACAUUAAAGUCAAUGGAAGGAUCUGAUGGUCACGCUAUGAAAGUGGCAAUGGGGAUGCAAAAGCAAAUCACAGCUAAAAGAGGUCAAAUAGAUGCCCUUCAGAGCAAGAUACAAUUUUUGGAAGAGGCGAUGACAAAUGCAAAUAAGGAAAAGCAUUUUCUAAAAGAAGAGAAGAAUAAAUUAAGCCAGGAAUUAAGUACUGUUGCAACAGAAAAAAACAAGAUGGCCGGAGAACUAGAAGUCCUGAGAUCUCAGGAACGCCGUUUGAAAGAAAAAGUGGUUAAUAUGGAAGUUGCUCUUGAUAAGGCAUCUUUGCAGUUUGCAGAAUGUCAAGAUAUAAUACAGCGUCAGGAACAAGAAUCUGUGCGCCUAAAACUUCAACACACUUUGGAUGUAAAAGAACUUCAGGGCCCUGGAUACACCUCAAAUUCUUCUGUGAAACCGCGCCUCCUACAGUCGUCCUCUGCUGCCCGUUCUCAUUCUAAUGUACCGUCUUCCCAGUCUACAGCCAGCUUCCUGUCGCAGCACUCUAUGAAACCUAACACACUGAAGGAAGAUCCAACAAGGGACCUGAAACAGCUUCUCCAAGAGUUGAGAAGUGUGAUCAACGAGGAGCCAGCUGUGCCUCUGAGCAAGACCGAGGAAGAUGGGAGAACACCAUCUCUGGGGGUCUCAUAUGUGGCUGUAGAUGAUAGAGUAAGAGAUUCCGUUACUGAAUCAAGCCUGAGAUUAGAGAUGUGCCAUAGAAGCAACUCAUUAAGGGACUCCACUGAAGGCAGCAAAUCAAGUGAAACACUUAGCAGAGAGCCAGUCACACUGCACACAGGAGACCUGGAAGACCCAUCUAGUUGCUUCACAUUCACAUCUACAGCAAGUCCAUCUGUGAAAAAUUCAGCUUCUCGUUCAUUCCAUUCUUCUCCUAAGAAGUCUCCAGUUCAUUCACUCCUAACUAGUUCAGUUGAAGAUUCAGUAGGUUCCACAUCACAAUAUCGAUCCAGCAAAGCUGUUCGUUCUUCUGAUUCUGUUAAAGUCUCUGCCUUUGUAAGUCUUCAGAGUCUCAGCCAGUAGAAACAACAGGAAAAACAUGCAGGAAGCUUCAGAACAGACUGGAAAGCUUGCAAACUCUGGUAGAAGAUUUACAGAUGAAGAAUCAAGCGAUGUCUUCAAUGAUCAGAAAUCAAGAAAAGAGGAUACAGAAAGUGAAAGACCAGGAAAAAAUGUUACUAAAAUGAUGCAUUGCUUGCCUAUUGUUUACAGAGGGAUGAUGCCCAAUUAAUUGUGGUGUUACUUAUAAUUAGUGCCCUGUGUACCUUUUUCUUUAAUGUGAAAAUUUAAUAAAAGAUACCCUGUCCUGUUAACUCUAUUUUGAAAUAAAUUAUUCUUGAAUGCUCUUGCAAUAAAACUUCAAACAGUACUAGCUA